rnacentral:rRNA from 1 species
UAGGGAAUCUUCCACAAUGGACGAAAGUCUGAUGGAGCAACGCCGCGUGAGUGAAGAAGGGUUUCGGCUACGUAAAACUCUGUUGUUAAAGAAGAACAUAUCUGAGAGUAACUGUUCAGGUAUUGACGGUAUUUAACCAGAAAGCCACGGCUAACUACGUGCUAG